UGAUUGAUGGUGCUUGCACCUGAUUGAUUUUGGUCGCCAACGAGUGGCGGACGGGUGAGUAACACGUAGGUAACCUGCCCAGAAGCGGGGGACAACAUUUGGAAACAGAUGCUAAUACCGCAUAACAACGUUGUUCGCAUGAACAACGCUUAAAAGAUGGCUUCUCGCUAUCACUUCUGGAUGGACCUGCGGUGCAUUAGCUUGUUGGUGGGGUAACGGCCUACCAAGGCGAUGAUGCAUAGCCGAGUUGAGAGACUGAUCGGCCACAAUGGGACUGAGACACGGCCCAUACUCCUACGGGAGGCAGCAGUAGGGAAUCUUCCACAAUGGGCGCAAGCCUGAUGGAGCAACACCGCGUGAGUGAAGAAGGGUUUCGGCUCGUAAAGCUCUGUUGUUAAAGAAGAACACGUAUGAGAGUAACUGUUCAUACGUUGACGGUAUUUAACCAGAAAGUCACGGCUAACUACGUGCCAGCAGCCGCGGUAAUACGUAGGUGGCAAGCGUUAUCCGGAUUUAUUGGGCGUAAAGAGAGUGCAGGCGG
rnacentral:rRNA from 2 species